rnacentral:misc_RNA from 1 species
AAUAAGUGUUUUAUGGCACUUUUUAAAUCCAUAUCCACCUUGUGUGCAAUGUCAGUCGAUCUUCUUCAUGGAGAUCGACCAAACAUCAACCUUUAUUUUUUAACUCUUUGUCUGAAAAACUUAAUAAUUACAACUUUCAACAACGGAUCUCUUGGUUCU